UCGUAGCUGUUCGUUGUGUAAAAAAAAAUAUGGAGCAUGUAUCAAGUGCAUUGUAAGGAAUUGUGCUAAAUCAUUCCAUGUAACGUGUGCAUAUUCACAUGGUUUACGAAUGGAUACAUUCUCUUCAGACGUUAACCCAGAUCUCACUUUACAGGCUUACUGUAAAACGCAUAGCAUUGAAAGUAGAACUCCAAAGAAAAAACACCAAAACCACUUGCAUACAUUGGAUAUGCAAAAAGAGUACGUCAAGAAAAAAAUCGGAAAACAGGCAAAAACUUCCACGAAAGAAAUUGAGACAGUGCGGUCGACAGGGGCGGUAGAAGGGUGACGUGGAAGAACCUAGAAGCAGGAAUAUUGAUGUAGUUUGAGAAGAAUUAAAAAGGCUGAUCGUUUCAUAUAAAAACUGAUAAUUGUAUAGGACAU